GACGUAGGGCGCGAGCGUUGUCCGGAUUUAUUGGGCGUAAAGAGCUCGUAGGCGGUUCGUCGCGUCGGCUGUGAAAUCCCGGAGCUCAACUCCGGGUCUGCAGUCGAUACGGGCGGACUUGAGUUCGGCAGGGGAGACUGGAAUUCCUGGUGUAGCAGUGAAAUGCGUAGAUAUCAGGAGGAACACCGAUGGCGAAGGCAGGUCUCUGGGCUGACACUGACGCUCAUGCACGAAAGCGUGGGGAGCAAACAGG
rnacentral:rRNA from 1 species